rnacentral:rRNA from 1 species
CCUACGGGAGGCAGCAGUGAGGAAUAUUGGUCAAUGGACGAGAGUCUGAACCAGCCAAGUAGCGUGAAGGAUGACUGCCCUAUGGGUUGUAAACUUCUUUUAUAAAGGAAUAAAACGAGGCACGUGUGCCUUUUCGCAUGUACUUUAUGAAUAAGGAUCGGCUAACUGCGUGCCAGCAGCCGCGGUAAGAAGGAUGAUCCGAGCGUUAUCCGGAUGUAUUGGGUUUGAAGGGAGCGUAGAUGGGUUGUUAAGUCAGUUGUGAAAGUUUGCGGCUCAACCGUAAAAUUGCAAUUGAUACUGGCAGGCUUGAGUACAGGUGAGGUUGGCGGAAUUCGUGGUGUAGCGGUGAAAUGCUUAGAUAUCACGAAGAACCCCGAUUGCGAAGGCAGCUUACUAAACUGUGACUGACAUUGAUGCUCGAAAGUGUGGGUAUCAAACAGGAUUAGAUACCCCAGUAGUC